rnacentral:rRNA from 1 species
CAGUCGCCGCGGGAAUACGAAGGGGGCUAGCGUUGCUCGGAAUGACUGGGCGUAAAGGGCGCGUAGGCGGAUUGUUUAGUUAGGCGUGAAAUUCCUGGGCUUAACCUGGGGACUGCGCUUAAUACAGGCAGUCUAGAGUGAGGAAGAGGGUCGUGGAAUUCCCAGUGUAGAGGUGUAAUUCGUAGAUAAUGGGAAGAACACCGGUGGCGAAGGCGGCGACCUGGUCCUUUACUGACGCUGAGGCGCGAAAGCGUGGGGAGCAAACAGGAUUAGAUACCCGUGUAGUCCCUGUCUCUUAUAC